GAUGAACGCUGACAGAAUGCUUAACACAUGCAAGUCUAUGAGAAAUUAUGUUAGCUUGCUAACAUGAGAGUAUCAUGGCGGACGGGUGAGUAACGCGUAAAGAACUUGCACCUCAGACUGGGAUAACAGUUGGAAACGACUGAUAAGACUAGAUAUUAUUAACGUAUAGCAUUGUAUGUUAAUGAAAAGAGAUGCUGAGGGAGAGCUUUGCGUCCUAUUAGUUAGUUGGUGAGGUAAGAGCUCACCAAGACGAUGAUAGGUAGCCGGCCUGAGAGGGUGAACGGCCACAAGGGGACUGAGAUACGGCCCUUACUCCUACGGGAGGCAGCAGUAGGGAAUCUUCGGCAAUGGACGAAAGUCUGACCGAGCAACGCCGCGUGAGUGAAGAAGGUUUUCGGAUCGUAAAACUCUUGUUGUUAGAGAAGAACAAGUGGGAGAGUAACUGUUCCCGCCUUGACGGUAU
rnacentral:rRNA from 1 species